CACGUAGGGCGCAAGCGUUGUCCGGAAUUAUUGGGCGUAAAGAGCUCGUAGGCGGUCUGUUGCGUCCGCUGUGAAAACCCGGGGCUUAACCCCUGGCUUGCAGUGGAUACGGACAGACUAGAGGUAGGUAGGGGAGAAUGGAAUUCCCGGUGUAGCGGUGAAAUGCGCAGAUAUCGGGAGGAACACCGGUGGCGAAGGCAGCUCGCUGGGACGGUACUGACGCUGAGACGCGAAAGCGUGGGGAGCGAACAGG
rnacentral:rRNA from 1 species